rnacentral:ribozyme from 1 species
CAACACACCAGCAAGGACAAACGAGGAGGACAGUGAAACAACUUUUCCUAAACAGGUCGUGCAAAACAACACGAGCGAACACUUGGAAAACUUUCGCGAGUAUGGGAGGAAACGAGGAAGCCGCGGCGAAGCAAGCCGCUGCGGAAGGG